rnacentral:rRNA from 1 species
AUAAGUUUUGUUUUUUUAGUUUUUGGUAUUGCAUAUCAUUUAAGGAAAAUUUUAUAGUUAUAAAAAAUAGAAUUAAAAAGUAGAAAAAUUUAUAUUUUUAUUGUUUCAUAAUAAAAAUUAUAAUUUUUAGGGUUGAAAAGUCGAUUUUUAAGAUAUCUGUUUUGUUUUUAUUUAUUAGAAAUUUAUAAAAAGGUAAUUUUAAUUUUUGUAAAAAGUAAAAGUUGAAGUAUUUUUAUUUUUAGUUUUAUAACUGUUUAUAUAAAUUAUGUUUGUUUAGUUUUAGUUUAAAAAUGUGUUUAUUAAAAUAUUUAAUAAAUUUAUUAUUUUAGAAUUAGUAGUUUAUUUAAAGAUUUUUUUAAUUUUUAAUAUAAUAUAAUAACUAAGUGAUUAAUCAAAUGUUUUUUAAAGACUUAGACUUUUAUAUAAAGUUAGCUCCUCCCCAAUGAUAUAUUAAAUGGCACUCUUAGCGU